rnacentral:lncRNA from 1 species
UGCUAUGUGUCAGGCACUGAGCUACAUGUUAGAGAGUCAGUACUAGGCAAAAUAGACAUGGUCUAUGACCUCACAAUGCUUACAGUCUCACAGGAAAGCCAAGACUAACACUUAAAGCAAUAAAGUAUAACUGCUAAUAUUUUAAAAAGUCAAGGGAAAGCCUAAGGAAGGAAUAUUUAAAAGCUCAGACUAUGGAUAAAUAUGUUAGUUAGACAAGGGAGGGGAAGGAAGAUAAGGAAAUGAGAAAGAGCUUCUGCAGGGAGAGAAAGGAACCCUGCCCCUACUACCACAACAUCACCCAGAAAAACUCUACAAAUACUCCCCCUGCCGAGUGGAGUCUGACCCAUCGCACCAGCGCAAAGCGUCCUUUUCAGAGCAUGCUUGAUCUCCUGUCGAAGCUCUGUCUCAUUCCUCAGGCGGCUCUGCGUGGUUUAAUACACAGUUACAUACAUUACAUGGUGUCAGACUCAUGAACUCAGUUGCUGACUAAGAAUAAAUAUUGUCUCACAGCUGUUAGAAAGGUUCA